AUUAUUGACAGAAGUUGCGAGUUUGCGGGGGCGUAAGUUUUCCAAUAAAGUGUCGAACACAUCCUCGGCCCCGGCCGCAACAAUGUCCACAGCACAAUGCCAAUAACUUAAGAAUCAAUACUCUCUCUGUUGGCAAGAGUCGCAAGCGCAGAGCAAAUAAACAUAGUACUCGCGUACACCGAAAACAUCCCUUGACGUCCGACUGCACACACACACGUGGAGAAAAUUUAAAAAUUCCCAGUUGACUCUUCAAACAUGCGUCUGGGGUGUUUUACCUAAUACAAAAACAACACACAAAAAUCAUCAGAGUUAAAAUAAAAACCGCUUGAAAAAUCGAGCGCAUAAUGUGUGAGAAAACGCAGCGCCACUGUUUGUUUCUGGUAUUUUCAAAACCCGGGCGACUUCAACUCGAAACUGAAUAUUUUCUCACAGGGUUUCUCUCAAGACCGAAACCAAGGUACGUACUGCACGAUAAUAAUUUCCUCGGCGAGUAAUGAAGUGGGCACUCGACGAACGACUCGAGUGAAACUGUGCGCAACUCAUUUCCAUGUGGCAUGUGUGCGGAAUCCACGGGAGAACUACUUAGCGCUGGAGUCAAGCAGCUAAAUUAAGUGUUCUUGAAACGUAUUACAUUCGCUAUUUCACUAUGUUUGGAUUGAUCGCAAGAAAUUUUUGUUUUGUUAUUUUUUCAUUUUUCUCUCUUCGAGUUUUUUUGAGAUUUAAAUUUUAUAAUUUUGAUACUUGCAAGUUUUCACAGUUAUAAACUGUUGUGACGUUGUUUUAAAUAUCUAAUUCUCAUUCUAAUACAAUUUCAAUGGGCGUGGGCCGUCCGAAGGAAUUAAAAAUGCA